AUACGUAGGGUGCGAGCGUUGUCCGGAAUUACUGGGCGUAAAGAGCUCGUAGGUGGUUUGUCGCGUCGUCUGUGAAAUUCCGGGGCUUAACUCCGGGCGUGCAGGCGAUACGGGCAUAACUUGAGUACUGUAGGGGAGACUGGAAUUCCUGGUGUAGCGGUGAAAUGCGCAGAUAUCAGGAGGAACACCGGUGGCGAAGGCGGGUCUCUGGGCGGUAACUGAGGCUGAGGAGCGAAAGCAUGGGUAGCGAACAGGAUUAGAUACCCUGGUAGUCCAUGCCGUAAACGGUGGGCGCUAGGUGUAGGGGUCUUCCACGACUUCUGUGCCGUAGCUAACGCAUUAAGCGCCCCGCCUGGGGAGUACGGCCGCAAGGCUAAAACUCAAAUGAAUUGGCGGGG
rnacentral:rRNA from 1 species